AAUUUGCAUAACAUUUUACAAAAAUAGGUAAUUGAGCGGCUGGCAUUGUGACAUAGCAGGUAAUGCCACUGCCUGUGCAAUGCCAGCAUCCCACAUGGUUCAUGUCGGUUCAUGCCCUGGCUGCUCUACUUCUGAUCCAGCUCCCUGCUAAUAGCCUGCGAAAAGCAAAGAAAAGUGACCCAAGUGCUUGACCCCUGCCACCCAUGGGGGAGACCCUGAUGAAGCUCCUGACUCCUGCCUUUGGCCUGGCCCAUCCUCAGCUGUUAUGGCCUUUUGGAGAAUGAAUCAGCAGUUACAAGAUCUCUUUCUCUUCCCUCCCUCUAAAAGGAAUAAAUAAGAAAAUCUGUCGCAUUGGGAGAGUGUUACUUGGUUCUUGACUUCUGUCAGUAUAGAAAUAAGGAAAGAGCCGAGAUGCAAAGCAAGAGUAAGUUUAUGGAGUGAGCCAGGAGGCAGAACAAAAGGCUGUCUGACUCACUGGAGACCAGUAGUUCAGAGAGGGUCCCCAGAGCCGGGGGUCUAUCUGGGAGAGUGAGGCAUAAGGUCUGUUAUGGAUAGUUUAACUUCCUGUUUGAUCAACAUCACUAGGGUGUUACACAGCAUAUGGGGUGUGGGGUGAUUUUAAUUGGACCUAGGCUGUGAGCACAAGCACAGAAGGGAUCUUGGGUUGCGCUUUUUGCAGUGUCUAUGAGUACUGCAAGGGUAUAGAAAGGGAUUGGAUUGGUCGUUCCGUGGUGCGCGCAUGAAUGGGCUUGCCACAUGAACCGAGGAAGAAGAAGGGGGAAGGGGAAGUUGGAAGCCAUUUUAGGCUAUUAUUUAUUUUGGAAACCUCUACUGGAGGCUUUCUGUCCCUACCUAUGGGUCCGCUAGCCCUACAAAUCUUAAAAAAAUAAAUUAAUCGACUGCAGGAAUACUGACAUUGCCACCAUCCAAGAGUUUAUAAAUGUGCAGCCAAAGGAACUUAGUAGAUGUGAAUUUAUUAAUGUAAAUGUAUAAAAUUAUGGUAAAAAGAUGCCUCAGAGGAGUGAUGUCAUUAAAAAACUUUCAUAUUAUAGUGAAGUCUCAGAGACACAUCAUAACAUUGAAAGCAAAAGGGAUAAAAUGUUUGAAGCUUACCAAACUUUGAAAGCUGCAUGGUAAUUCACAAAGGCACAGCAAAUAUACUCCUCCAUAUUGUAAGUUAUACAAGAAAAGAUAGGUUCUAUUCUAACUUCUCUUGGUAAUUUUUUUAAAAUAAAGAAAAACACUAAAAACUCUCAAUUUUUAAAAAAGAUUUAUUUAUUUUGAAAUUCAGAGUUACAGAGAGAGGGAGACACAGAGAGAGAGCGCGCAAGCUACCAUCUGCUGAUUCACUUCCAACAUGGGCUGAUCAGGCCAAAGCCAGGAGCAAUGAGCUUCUCUCAUGUGUCCCAGUUGUGUGGCAGAUCUUCUGAUGCUUUCCCCAGGCCAUUAGCAGGGAGCUGGAUUGGAAGCGGGGCACCCGGGACAUGAACCAGUGCCCAUUUGGAAUACCAGCGUCCUAGGUGGUGGCUUUACCUGGCAUGCCAUUAUGACAGCCCCUAAUUCUCAAUUUUUAUAAUGUUCUAAAAUAAAUGGGGCAGGCGUGAAGUGUGGUGGUUAAGACACUACUUGAGACACCUGUAUCCCAUACUUGAGUGCCUUGGUUCGAGUCCCAACUCGCUUUUUUUUUUUUUUUUUUUUGACAGGCAGAGUGAACAGUGAGAGUUGCCGUUGGUUCACCCUCCAAUGGCCGCUGCCAGCACAUUGCGGCUGGCGCACUGCGCUGAUCCGAUGGCAGGAGCCAGGUGCUUCUCCUGGUCUCCCAUGGGGUGCAGGGCCCAAGCACUCGGGCCAUCCUCCACUGCACUCCCGGGCCACAGCAGAGAGCUGGACUGGAAGAGGGGCGACUGGGACAGAAUCCGGUGCCCCGACUGGGACUGGUGUGCCGGCACUGCAAGGUGGAGGAUUAGCGUAGUGAGCCGCGGCGCCGGUCAAACUCUGCUUUUGAUACCAGCUUCUUGCUAAUGUGCAUCCUGGGAGGCAACAGCUUGCCUCAAGAAGUUGGGUUCCUAAAAUCCAAGUUGAAGGCUUAGAUUGAGUACUGGAUUCCUGGUUUCAGGUUGGUCCAGCCUCAGUUGUUGUGGAAUUUAGGGAGUAAAGUAGCACAUGGGUGAUCUCUCCCCUGCCCUUCUCUCUGCCUUUCAAACAAAAUGAAAGUCAAUAGAAAUACUAAGUAUCCUAUACUAAAAAUACAUCAGUUUUAUCUUUUAUUUCCCUAUAUACAUAUAUUACUGAUAGAAAAUUUUUAACAACCUGAGAAAAAUUUUGAAGGUCAAAAAUUAUAAUUUUUCCCAUUUUUUUGAAGAUUUAUUUAUGGGGCUGGCAUUGUGGCAUAACAGGUUAAGCCAUUGCCUGCAGUGUCAACAUCCCAUAUGGGUGUCACUUCAAGGCCUGCCUGCUCCACUUCUGAUCAAGCUCCCAAGAACUUGACCAUCUUAGCAGGGAGCUGGAUUGAAAGUGGAGCAGCCAGUACUCGAACCAGCACCCAUAUGGGAUGCCAGCACUGCAGGUGGAGGCUUACCCUCUAUACCGCAGCACUGGCCCCAUUGCACCAUUUUUCAUUUUCAUGAGCUGGAGCAAAUUAAGAGCUACUUUUAUAUGUGUCAUCCAGAGUCUAUUCGGAGACAGAAAACUAUUAGUUACUUGAAUGAGUGGACUUAAUAGGAAAGGUUAUUGACUGGGUAUAAAUUUCAUAACUAGCCACUGAAAAGGUAAUAAGAAAACUGAAAUAUCAUGGAAGGAGCAACCACAAUAAGCAGCUAACACUCCUGGUUCUAAAGUAACAAAGGGAAGAGGCUGGAAUUAUUGGAAAUUGGUUAGACAUGUAAAAGAGAGGCUCUGAAGAGUUAAAAUCCAGACUUCAGAAAAGGAAGCGCUGAGUGGGAACAGGGCGGUUGGUACGGGUCUCUGAGGUGCUGCAAACACAUGGAGACUCACGAUUAGAAACACUGCAAACCAGAUGGAGCUGCUGCUGCAAGAAGGAACUGCCUUGAGGCUCAAGAAGCAUUGCUGGGGUUAGGUUCACAGGAACCUCACACAGACAGGAAGCAGGCAGAAAGGGGAUCCCCCCUUCCUCUAGCACUGUGGUCUCUCCUUACCACCCCGUAUUGAUGGAGCUUAACAUGCAGUCUCCUGACAAAGCAGAAAUGUUACAUCACAAAGCACAACGGAGCAAGGGGGUCUGGAGCUGAGAGAUAAUGACUUAGUAACUGGCACACUGUUCUGGGAGCAACAGUGGCAGAGAAGUAUAAACUGGGUAUGCAAGGGUGCGUCUUUGAUUCUCAAGAGAAAAUGAGAAUAGUUUUGUUCUAAGUUACAUGAGGAAACCGGUAAGAUGUUACAACAGAGUCCAAAGAGAAUCCAAGCAGCAGUAAUAUUUUUUGAUCAGAAAUAUUGAAGUGAAUUUCCAAACGGAUGCAAAGGUGUCAUUUGGAAGAGAGGGCGUGUUAUCCACUCACUGGACAGUAUUCAUCUGAGUGGCUAUGGACAAGAACUAUUUGCAUGGUUCCAUGUUUUCUACAAGUCAGUUUGCGUCACGGAAGUGUUUGAGAGAGAAGAAAAUGAAUCUCCCCGGAUGAUCAGAUACUCUCAACAUUAGAGCAUUCCAUUGAAGUAUGCCCAGUCUGUGAGAGAAAAUGGUCCUCUCUGUGAAAGAUCUGCCUGGAUGCAGAGAGAAAAGAAGCCAAUCCCUGCUUCUGGGAAAGAUGAGUCGCCCCAGCAACUCACGGGCUGUAGAUCCCUUGAAUCCAGCCUCCCUCACCAGAUUUUAAGCCACUUGAGUACAGGAAACUUGCUGAAUGCCUAGUGCACCUUCAGAAACGGUGUCGUCAGAAACAGGUCUUCCAGAAAUACUUGCUGAUCCACUGCUUGACUUUUGUAAAUGGAAACAAGAAAUGUGCCACUGUAUUGGAAGAUAUAAGACAACCGUGACAAAGCAACAGCACAAGCUAGUCUGUAGCUGAAAAUCAGUCAGAAAUCAAAGAUUCAUGUGAUCUGAUAAAGGAGUGCAGUAACAUUAUUAAACCUCAUAUUUCAGAAACUUUUAAAAAUUGCUAUAAAUUAUAUGACCAGUAUAUUAUGUGGAGAAAAGGGGGAAAAUGCUUCAAACAGGGGGAAUUUGCAUGUAAAAAAUGACAAUUAAAAAUGGACU